AGCUCCAAUAGCGUAUAUUAAAGUUGUUGCAGUUAAAAAGCUCGUAGUUGGAUUUCGGGACGGCUCUGUCGGUCCACCGCAAGGUGUGUUACUGACCGAGCUGUUCUUCUUCGCAAAGACUGCAUGUGCUCUUAACUGAGUGUGUGCAGGACUUGUGACGUUUACUUUGAAAAAAUUAGAGUGUUCAAAGCAGGCCAGCGCCUGAAUACAUAAGCAUGGAAUAAUGGAAUAGGACUUUGGUUCUAUUUUGUUGGUUUCUGGAACCAAAGUAAUGAUUAAAAGGGACAGUUGGGGGCAUUCGUAUUUCGUUGUCAGGGGUGAAAUUCUUGGAUUUACGAAAGACGAACUACUGCGAAAGCAUUUGCCAAGAAUGUUUUCA
rnacentral:rRNA from 1 species